rnacentral:rRNA from 1 species
UACGGAGGGUGCAAGCGUUACUCGGAAUCACUAGGCGUAAAGCGCAUGCAGGCGGUCAGAUAAGUUAGAAGUGAAAUCCUAUAGACCAACUAUAGAACUGCUUCUAAAACUGUUUGACUAGAGUCUGGGAGGGGAAGAUGGAAUUAGUAGUGUAGGGGUAAAAUCCGUAGAGCUUACUAGGAAUACCAAAAGCGAAGGCGAUCUUCUGGAACAGUACUGACGCUGAGAUGCGAAAGCGUGGGGAGCAAACAGGAUUAGAUACCCUAGUAGUCC